GACUAUGAGUGGCAACGCUUAGAAAACUGUAUAUUUGACCGAUUCAUGAAGGUUGGUGAAAGGAGUCGACAGCAUCCUUAGGCGAAACUUACUACUUUGGGGAAAAAAUUAUGCAAAUGUAUUGACUAUGAGUGGCAACGCUUAGAAAACUGUAUAUUUGAUCGAUUCAUGAAGGUUGUUGGAAGGAGUCGACAGCAUCCUUAGGCGAAACUUACUACUUUGGGGUAAAAUUUAUGCAAAUGUAUUGACUAUGAGUGGCAACGCUUAGAAAAUUGUAUAUUUGAUCGAUUCAUGAAGGUUGGUGAAAGGAGUCGACAGCAUC